CAAAGACGUAGCUCUUCAGAUGAAGAUUUAUCAUGGGACCAAUGUAAUGGACACACUUUGGUGCCAAAACCUGCAUUCCUCUACUGCGGUCACACUUCAAGAAGGACUUCAAAACGGACUUUACCGUAAAGAAUUUGAAUUCAAGAACAACAAAUCACCAGAUAAUAAGACCUGAGUAGUGAGGACUCCAUCUUAGGACUCCAGUCACCUUUCCCCAAUGCUAUCCGCAUAUCAGCCUGUAUCACCUAAUCUUUUCUGUCGGAUGUGAGAUUUUCCUAACGGCAAUGGCAGGACUUCUUCCCAUCUUUAAAACAACUUUCUGACAGGUUGGGGAUUAGCAGGACUGCCUUCAAAGCCAAGUCUAUGUGAAGAGCCUCUCAGUGGUUGCUGCAGUGUACCCAAGAGGCAUCGGGAGCUACUCCUUUACCACUACACUAUGUCUCCCUGUCAUGGCUUUUGCGCCAUCAGUACAGAUACCAACACAUCUUGACCAGCAAAGUCUAUUUUAUGUCCAUGACUUUAAAAAUAUCCUCUCCUGUUGUCCUGGUUUCCAGUGGUUUGCAGAAGAGGAUGUCCUCCUUAAUUGACCCCCCAUAAACAUAACUGCCAUGUGUCAGGCCCUGUAACGCAUAGAAUUCACUGGAUUGUAUG
ensembl:lncRNA